UUUUUGCCGCCAGAUAUUCAAAUAUUGCCGCCACAUGUAGUUUUGGGUGGGUUGAUAAUUAUAGGUGGCGCGUAUACAUUCGCGUAUCUUAGAAUCUGUGUUCCUAGCCUAGUCGCCGUUCUUCCUUUGGGUAAUUGUGUUCUGUGCCGUGACCACGCACCCUGUUAAGCACGCGAAACGUCGGUUAAAUGUAAAAUAAUUGUUAAUCCGGUUAAAAAGUGUUUUCUUUAAAUGUGUAAAGGUUAUGUUAAUAAAAGACAAUACUAUGUGCAACAGUACGGACUGGAAAAUGCAAACAAAAUUAGACGACUGGAAUUCAAGAAAACAAAAGGCAUCUCGUCUCCUAGCAUCCAUAAAUUUUCUUAAAAGAUGCGGAGACCACAACAUCAUCCCCUACUGUGUACGAUAAACAGAUUAUCGUAAACAGAUUGGAGGCAGUGCAUAAACAUCUUAAACACUUGGGCUCACAACAAAUUCAAUAACUGCAAAGUCAUACAAAUAAAAAAAAGUUUGAAAAACUAGCACAGAACACUAAUAGACACCUGUCAAACGUCGCGACUUUAAAUGACACACCCGAUACUAGUCAAAAUGUCACUGUCAUCAAUCUGUCAAAACAAAACUUGUAUAAACAAACCAUCGAGCCUCGAGGUAUUAAAUAAAGGCUUAAAUUUUGCAACGGCACAGCGAAAAAUCCCUCACGAAGAAAUUCUCGAGAAGGCUCUCGCGGAGCUAAAGGCGAACGAAGAUUUGGUAGUACUCCGAGCUGACAAAGGGAACGCAAUACCUAUAAAAAAGUUGAUAAAGAUCCCACAAACAAGGUAAUAAAACAAACAUCUAGCCUCCUUACUAAAUAUUCUGAAACACUGUCACUAGACGUCAAAUCUUUAACAACAGCCUGCGUAAAACCUCCAAAAAUGUAUGGAUUGCCAAAAAUACACAAACACAACAAUCCUUUAAGACCCAUAGUCAGUCAUAUCGACUCACCCACAUACAAAUUAGCCAAACACUUAGUGUCAAUAUUAUCCCCUCUCAGGGGGCACACUAGUGCUCAUGUUAAGGACUCUUACUAUUUUGUGGAAACAUUGAGAGCUCUCAAAUUACUCCACAAUGAAACCAUGGUGAGUUUUGACAUUGAGUCACUAUUUACAAACUUACCACUAAAUGACUGCCUAGAUAUAAUUGCAAAAAGACUUAGGGAACAGAACAUGUCACCAGAUUAUGUAGAUAUUGUAAAACACUGUCUCACGUCAGGAUACUUAAUGUGGAAAGAUGAGUUCUAUGUGCAGGUUGAUGGAGUGGCCAUGGGUUCUCCAGUGUCACCUAUAGUCGCUGACAUCUUCGUGGAGGACUUUGAGGAGAGAGCUCUGGCCAAUGCCCCGGUUAAACCUCGUCUGUACAAGAGAUAUGUCGAUGACAUGUUUGUAGUACUCCGCAAUGACAAAAUAUCUGCAUUUCUAGCACAUUUAAAUUCAAUACACAAUAACAUUAAAUUUACUGUUGAACAAGAGAACAACAACUGUCUGCCCUUUUUAGACAUUUUAAUUAUACGCAAAGCAGAUGGCACACUAGGUCACACAAUACACAGAAAGGCAACCCACACAGACAGGUACCUCAACCACCACCGCCUCCGACCACCCUUCACAACUGCUUUCUGUCGGUAAAUGUUUGUUCCAGAGAGCCCAACGUCUUUGUGAUGCUGCCCACCUCGAGGAGGAACUACAGCAUGUCAAACAGGUGCUACACCGAAACAAGCUGCGCGUCCCCCGGCUGCAUCACAGAAACAAUAACAAGACACAGACAGCGACAUGAAGGCGGUUGAAGAUGUGGUGCCAACACAACAGAGGGGUCUAUGGUCAUCGAACGUGAGUGAAGAUUCUAACUAAGGCAACAACCUGCUUCCACAACGCGCGUGCAGGAGACUCUGCAGCUGUACCAGCCUUUGCAGACUCUGUGGGGCGCCAGAAUGUUCAGAUUUCAUCAUUUGAACAUAAGCGAACUACUGACAUGGAUCCUGUGUGUGCUAAAUAUUAGCAGCUGAAUAGCAAUUUUAAUUAUAUUUUAAUCAGCUGUUGACACGGUUCAUAUGUGUUCCAUAUUUUAAUAGCUGAGGUUGCGCGAUACACCAACAGCUCACUAGAAAAAUACCAUGUAUGUGUGAAUAGGUGUAAUUAGUAUUUAAGAUAUUGUUUUAUAACAAUAAAUCAGAUUUGAAUAUUG